CCUUAGUGUUGUCAUCCGGAUUGCUCCUCCUGUCGCCAAACUCCUCGUCCAGGUCCAUAAAGCUCUUCCAGGUUCUACCAUCUCGUCCAUCACAAAGGAGGAGUGUUGAGAUUGUAGUGUCGCACCCGUAGGUAGAAUAUACGGGAAUCGUCGGUGGUAGUAUUUAGAGGUAUGUUAUGAUGUGCUUAGUGGAAAUGAAUUGUAGAUACCUGGAUGAAAUAAAAGGAACAGCAGUUGCUAGUUGAGUUAUCAGUCAGUAGCUGUCUGCAGAGGAAUGGA